rnacentral:lncRNA from 1 species
UAUAUAUGAAAUUUAAAAAUUGAAAUCUCCAACUGUUCUUUGACAGCUUCAAAAUAUCCUUUGUGUUGGUCCUUCGAGCUUUUAUUUGGAGUCUCGGCUGCCUUGGUGAUUCCUGCCUUUAUGUCCCUAGCUCGUGGCUUCGUCCUUGUGUCUAACUCACAGGCAGACAGAUGGAAAGGAAAGUUGUGUUCAGCCAACAGCUUGAUCUUAUUCUCAAGGCUCAAAUCGACUGGGUAUUUGGAGACUUCUGUGCAAAUUGGCAUUUUUGGUUUUUAAACAUGGUGUCUUUCUUGUACUUCAAAUGGGUAACUGGUUCUCUUGGAAAAGAUAUAGCCAUAAAGCUGGUUUAAAAAAAAAAUGGGAGUGGGUGUGAGAGAAUGGCUUAGAAAUUACACCAGUAAUCGCAGGGCGUGGUGGCUUACGCAUGUAAUUCCAGCACUUUGAGAGGAUGAGGCAGGUGGGUCACCUGAGGUCAGGAGUUGGAGACCAGCCUGGCCAACAUGGUGAAACCCCGUAUGUACUGAAAAUACGAAAAUUAGCCAGGCACGGUGACAGGGACCUGUAAUACCAGUUACUUGGGAGGUUGAGGCAGGAGAAUCACUUGUACCCGGGAGGCAGAGGUUGCAGUGAGCCGAGAUUGUGCCACUGCACUCCACCCUGGGUGACAGAAGAGAAACUCCAUCUCAAGAAAAAAACAAAAGAUAAACACCCCGCUAAUGGAAACCUGAUGCGUCAUCUGUGAUGGAGAUGGCCGAUUAUUUCACUUUUAGUGACAGGAUGAAUUGGAUAUGUUUGCAGUAUUGAUCUUGACAAGGGAAAUGGUCAGAACCAAAUGUGCCCCCAGCUUGGGCCUCGCGGUUGGCAGAAGACCCUGGUGGGCAACAGACUGGAGACUCGGAGACCGAGGGGAGAAUUCUCACGCCGUGACGCUGUUGCAGUCACUGCUUCUGGACUCCUGCUGGAGGGAGCGGCCCCUUCGCCUUGCAGGCUUUGGUGCAGUGGAGACCUUAGGACCUGCCCCUCCUCUCCUGGGCUGUGUGUGAAGAGCUGCCCAGCGGAAUUGCCCUGCUGCCUGGUGUUUCAUUCACCAGAAAUCGUUCUCACUGUGGACUCUUGACUCAAAUGUAAUCCAGGAAUGGAACGUGCUGUUGCUGGAUGCCACACGCAGCAUCGGGAGCCUAGUUGGGGAUUAUAUGAUCUUACCCCACACCUUAAAAGUGAAGAUUAUUGUUGUCAGGCCUCUGAGCCCAAGCCAAGCCAUCGCAUCCCCUGUGACUUGCAUGUAUACGCCCAGAUGGCCUGAAGUAACUGAAGAAUCACAAAAGAAGUGCAAAUGCCCUGCCCGGCCUUAACUGAUGAC